CAUGGCGGAGGGAGGCCGUGUCUGUCCAACACUCCUCGUUUAAGACUUAUUUUACAGCUAACACACAUCAAAAACUUUCGCAAGGCUUUGGAGCUAAAUAAAUUGUCAGCUCG